AGAGUUUGAUCCUGGCUCAGAACGAACGCUGGCGGCAGGCCUAACACAUGCAAGUCGAACGAGAAAGUUCCUUCGGGAAUGAGUAAAGUGGCGCACGGGUGAGUAACGCGUAAGUAAUCUACCUUGGCAUUUGGAAUAACUACGGGAAGCUGUAGCUAAUACCGGAUACGUUCUCCUUUCUACGGAUUGGAGAAGAAAGAUGACCUCUUCUUGAAAGUUAUCGUGCUGAGAGGAGCUUGCGUACCAUUAGCUAGUUGGUAGGGUAAAGGCCUACCAAGGCAACGAUGGUUAGCGGGUCUGAGAGGAUGAUCCGCCACACUGGAACUGGAACACGGACCAGACUCCUACGGGAGGCAGCAGUGAGGAAUAUUGCGCAAUGGGGGAAACCCUGACGCAGCGACGCCGCGUGGAUGAUGAAGGCCUUAGGGUCGUAAAAUCCUGUCAGAUGGGAAGAAAUGUAUGUAAGAAUAAUACCUUAUGUGCUUGACGGUACCAUCAAAGGAAGCACCGGCUAACUCCGUGCCAGCAGCCGCGGUAAUACGGAGGGUGCAAACGUUGUUCGGAAUUACUGGGCGUAAAGCGCGCGUAGGCGGUUUGUUAAGUCAGAUGUGAAAGCCCAAGGCUCAACCUUGGACGUGCAUUUGAAACUGGCAAACUUGAGUACUGGAGGGAUGGUGGAAUUCCCGGUGUAGAGGUGAAAUUCGUAGAUAUCGGAGGAAUACCGGUGGCGAAGGCGACCAUCUGGCCAGAUACUGACGCUGAGGUGCCAAAGCGUGGGGAGCCAACAGGAUUAGAUCCUGUAGUCCACGCCGUAAACGAUGUCACUAGGUGUUGGAAUGGUAAUCAUUUCAUUGCCGAGUACGCAUUAGUUGACCGCUGGGAGUCCGCCCAGAUUAAA
rnacentral:rRNA from 1 species